GGUUAAGCGACUAAGCGUACACGGUGGAUGCCCUGGCAGUCAGAGGCGAUGAAGGACGUGCUAAUCUGCGAUAAGCGUCGGUAAGGUGAUAUGAACCGUUAUAACCGGCGAUUUCCGAAUGGGGAAACCCAGUGUGUUUCGACACACUAUCAUUAACUGAAUCCAUAGGUUAAUGAGGCGAACCGGGGGAACUGAAACAUCUAAGUACCCCGAGGAAAAGAAAUCAACCGAGAUUCCCCCAGUAGCGGCGAGCGAACGGGGAGCAGCCCAGAGCCUGAAUCAGUGUGUGUGUUAGUGGAAGCGUCUGGAAAGGCGCGCGAUACAGGGUGACAGCCCCGUACACAAAAAUGCACAUGCUGUGAGCUCGAUGAGUAGGGCGGGACACGUGGUAUCCUGUCUGAAUAUGGGGGGACCAUCCUCCAAGGCUAAAUACUCCUGACUGACCGAUAGUGAACCAGUACCGUGAGGGAAAGGCGAAAAGAACCCCGGCGAGGGGAGUGAAAAAGAACCUGAAACCGUGUACGUACAAGCAGUGGGAGCACGCUUAGGCGUGUGACUGCGUACCUUUUGUAUAAUGGGUCAGCGACUUAUAUUCUGUAGCAAGGUUAACCGAAUAGGGGAGCCGAAGGGAAACCGAGUCUUAACUGGGCGUUAAGUUGCAGGGUAUAGACCCGAAACCCGGUGAUCUAGCCAUGGGCAGGUUGAAGGUUGGGUAACACUAACUGGAGGACCGAACCGACUAAUGUUGAAAAAUUAGCGGAUGACUUGUGGCUGGGGGUGAAAGGCCAAUCAAACCGGGAGAUAGCUGGUUCUCCCCGAAAGCUAUUUAGGUAGCGCCUCGUGAAUUCAUCUCCGGGGGUAGAGCACUGUUUCGGCAAGGGGGUCAUCCCGACUUACCAACCCGAUGCAAACUGCGAAUACCGGAGAAUGUUAUCACGGGAGACACACGGCGGGUGCUAACGUCCGUCGUGAAGAGGGAAACAACCCAGACCGCCAGCUAAGGUCCCAAAGUCAUGGUUAAGUGGGAAACGAUGUGGGAAGGCCCAGACAGCCAGGAUGUUGGCUUAGAAGCAGCCAUCAUUUAAAGAAAGCGUAAUAGCUCACUGGUCGAGUCGGCCUGCGCGGAAGAUGUAACGGGGCUAAACCAUGCACCGAAGCUGCGGCAGCGACGCUUAUGCGUUGUUGGGUAGGGGAGCGUUCUGUAAGCCUGCGAAGGUGUGCUGUGAGGCAUGCUGGAGGUAUCAGAAGUGCGAAUGCUGACAUAAGUAACGAUAAAGCGGGUGAAAAGCCCGCUCGCCGGAAGACCAAGGGUUCCUGUCCAACGUUAAUCGGGGCAGGGUGAGUCGACCCCUAAGGCGAGGCCGAAAGGCGUAGUCGAUGGGAAACAGGUUAAUAUUCCUGUACUUGGUGUUACUGCGAAGGGGGGACGGAGAAGGCUAUGUUGGCCGGGCGACGGUUGUCCCGGUUUAAGCGUGUAGGCUGGUUUUCCAGGCAAAUCCGGAAAAUCAAGGCUGAGGCGUGAUGACGAGGCACUACGGUGCUGAAGCAACAAAUGCCCUGCUUCCAGGAAAAGCCUCUAAGCAUCAGGUAACAUCAAAUCGUACCCCAAACCGACACAGGUGGUCAGGUAGAGAAUACCAAGGCGCUUGAGAGAACUCGGGUGAAGGAACUAGGCAAAAUGGUGCCGUAACUUCGGGAGAAGGCACGCUGAUAUGUAGGUGAGGUCCCUUGCGGAUGGAGCUGAAAUCAGUCGAAGAUACCAGCUGGCUGCAACUGUUUAUUAAAAACACAGCACUGUGCAAACACGAAAGUGGACGUAUACGGUGUGACGCCUGCCCGGUGCCGGAAGGUUAAUUGAUGGGGUUAGCCGCAAGGCGAAGCUCUUGAUCGAAGCCCCGGUAAACGGCGGCCGUAACUAUAACGGUCCUAAGGUAGCGAAAUUCCUUGUCGGGUAAGUUCCGACCUGCACGAAUGGCGUAAUGAUGGCCAGGCUGUCUCCACCCGAGACUCAGUGAAAUUGAACUCGCUGUGAAGAUGCAGUGUACCCGCGGCAAGACGGAAAGACCCCGUGAACCUUUACUAUAGCUUGACACUGAACAUUGAGCCUUGAUGUGUAGGAUAGGUGGGAGGCUUUGAAGUGUGGACGCCAGUCUGCAUGGAGCCGACCUUGAAAUACCACCCUUUAAUGUUUGAUGUUCUAACGUUGACCCGUAAUCCGGGUUGCGGACAGUGUCUGGUGGGUAGUUUGACUGGGGCGGUCUCCUCCUAAAGAGUAACGGAGGAGCACGAAGGUUGGCUAAUCCUGGUCGGACAUCAGGAGGUUAGUGCAAUGGCAUAAGCCAGCUUGACUGCGAGCGUGACGGCGCGAGCAGGUGCGAAAGCAGGUCAUAGUGAUCCGGUGGUUCUGAAUGGAAGGGCCAUCGCUCAACGGAUAAAAGGUACUCCGGGGAUAACAGGCUGAUACCGCCCAAGAGUUCAUAUCGACGGCGGUGUUUGGCACCUCGAUGUCGGCUCAUCACAUCCUGGGGCUGAAGUAGGUCCCAAGGGUAUGGCUGUUCGCCAUUUAAAGUGGUACGCGAGCUGGGUUUAGAACGUCGUGAGACAGUUCGGUCCCUAUCUGCCGUGGGCGCUGGAGAACUGAGGGGGGCUGCUCCUAGUACGAGAGGACCGGAGUGGACGCAUCACUGGUGUUCGGGUUGUCAUGCCAAUGGCACUGCCCGGUAGCUAAAUGCGGAAGAGAUAAGUGCUGAAAGCAUCUAAGCACGAAACUUGCCCCGAGAUGAGUUCUCCCUGACCCUUUAAGGGUCCUGAAGGAACGUUGAAGACGACGACGUUGAUAGGCCGGGUGUGUAAGCGCAGCGAUGCGUUGAGCUAACCGGUACUAAUGAACCGUGAGGCUUAACCUU
rnacentral:rRNA from 1 species